UCUACAUUACACUCUCAAAUACGUGCAUAAAAUCAUCAUCUAGCUGAGUAGCGAUGUUUUUUGUUUGGAUUAUAUUUUUUCGGCUAUAAAAAGUAAAAUCGGACUUGUUUUCUUUUUCUAAUCAUUCUUAAAUUGUUCCGUGUUUGAAAGAAAAAUUUGUUCACGUAUUUGAUUAAAAGCUAACAGCAGUCUUGCUAUAUUUGGUAAAUUUUUUUCAAUGGUAAUUGCUCGUGAUUGUAUUCAAUGGUAAGUCGUGAUCGCUUUUUUACCGCCGAAUAUUUGUUAAAAAGUCUCCAAGAGGUGCUUUUCUUUGUUCAACUACACUACUAGCUCUCAAUCAAAAUGAAAGAAACUUCUCUCUAGAUAUCAAACCACAAUAAUAGAUACCUCACCAUUAGCUCACUUGUGAGUCUCAUUAUACUUGACAAAGUUUUUAUCACGAACGUGGUAGAGUUACUACAACAUUCUCUAACAUUGGUAGUGCUCAUUCUUUAGUCGACAAAGAGCGAUGAAUUGGCCAUGUUACUCCAUUUCGGCGACAACGUCAUUUUUUAUACCAACUUUGUUAUUAACGAUUUGUUUAUAAACUAGCUUUAAAAAGUGAUCAACGAGUAUCCGGAAAUGUUGCCACGCUUGAAUCGUAGCCAGACCUCGGCAGCUUUAUUUUUCAGCAAUGCCGAAAUGGCAAACGAUCAGCAACAACCCGAACUUAUCUUAUACUCAAAAAAAUACAGCAACUUGUAUUUGAAUAAAAAAAGUGGUAAGAAUUCCAAAAAUAGCAUUCGCCGAAGAUCUCCCGAAUGGGCAGGCGAGGAAGGGGAGCUGGAUAAGCGGUACGGGCGGCGGACUCCAGCUGAAUUUGGUCAUGUGGUAAAAUUGACCAAUGGGAAGCCGACUUCGAAACAGAGCGUUAACAGAAGAUCCGGUCGCUAUGGCAGCAGCGAACGAAUCAACUCUGCCAACGUGCAAAAAUCAGGCUGUGCUUUAAACUGGUGCACUAAUUACCCUUUCUCAUCUCUGCAAGAUAUGCAUUCCCAGUCUGUAGCCAAACAGCAGUCGAACCUAGGUUUGAACCAGCGACCUCUAAGCCAACGCUCACAUUUGAGCAGCGGACGUCGGAACCUUCCUAAAAAACUAAGUGCAGCGUCAUCUAUUGUGUCAAGUGCGUGUCUCCUUACGCCACAGUCGCUAGAAGAACACAAGCAAAUUAUGGAAGCUUUAGACGAACAGUUUGUGAGGGAUGAACAAAUGAUUAUUCAACAGGCUAGCAGUCAGCAACAGUGCACUGGAGGUCAACGGGGUGGGUCUUCAGGACGGUUCUACCCGGAAACUCCAAGGAGCGAAUUGUCCUUGAAAAAAAUCCUAGUGAUGAAAUGGCUUCAAGCUGUAGAACAGGCUCGAAGCUCAAACUCAUUAGCUUCAGUGUCAACUGGAUACUAGAAGAAAUCUCAUAAAAACUACUUGAAAUGUCAAGUUGCUCUAGACUUGCAAAAUCAAUAAAGAUCUCGAAAUUUUCUCAAAUACAAAAUCAAAUUAACAAAAAGCAAGAGGCCAAAAUAUGUCAACAUAAACAAGAUAUUUUAGAGAAAUUAUUAUUUAUUUUUUUGUGCAGUAAUUCAAUGUGCCAAAUAUUG